AACGAACGCUGGCGGCAGGCCUAACACAUGCAAGUCGAACGCUCCAGCAAUGGAGAGUGGCAGACGGGUGAGUAACGCGUGGGAACCUUCCCUAUGGUUCGGAAUAGCUCAGGGAAACUUGAGGUAAUACCGGAUAAGCCCUUCGGGGAAGAUUAUCGCCAUUGGAUGGGCCCGCGUAGGAUUAGCUAGUUGGUGAGGUAACGGCUCACCAAGGCGACGAUCCUUAGCUGGUCUGAGAGGAUGAUCAGCCACACUGGGACUGAGACACGGCCCAGACUCCUACGGGAGGCAGCAGUGGGGAAUAUUGGACAAUGGGCGCAAGCCUGAUCCAGCCAUGCCGCGUGAGUGACGAAGGCCUUAGGGUUGUAAAGCUCUUUUGGCGGGAAGAUAAUGACGGUACCCGCAGAAUAAGCUCCGCUAACUUCGUGCCAGCAGCCGCGGUAAU
rnacentral:rRNA from 1 species